UGGAGAACCUCAGCCGAGAGAUCACACACACAUACACACAAUUCACCAUUCUACUUGAAGCCAAAAUGUAAACAGACAAGGUAUAUCCCACCAUUUAAUAAUCUAAAGAAGAAGAGAGAGAAAACCUAUAGGUCCAAGAAACACAACAUCCAAUGACAGAUGAUUUGCACUGGAGACUAACACAACCAACACGAUGAGUAAACAGGUAGCCAGUGCUACUCACCACAACAAACAACAACAAGCUGGUUUGCAAG